GAUGAACGCUGGCGGCGUGCCUAACACAUGCAAGUCGAACGGUGAAGCAGGAGCUUGCUCCUGUGGAUCAGUGGCGAACGGGUGAGUAACACGUGAGCAAUCUGCCCUGGACUCUGGGAUAAGCGUUGGAAACGACGUCUAAUACCGGAUACGAGGCGUGGGGGCAUCCCCAACGCCUGGAAAGAACUUCGGUCCAGGAUGAGCUCGCGGCCUAUCAGGUAGUUGGUGAGGUAACGGCUCACCAAGCCGACGACGGGUAGCCGGCCUGAGAGGGUGACCGGCCACACUGGGACUGAGGCACGGCCCAGAGUCCGACGGGAGGCAGCAGUGGGGAAUAUUGCACAAUGGGCGCAAGCCUGAUGCAGCAACGCCGCGUGAGGGACGACGGCCUUCGGGUUGUAAACCUCUUUUAGCAGGGAAGAAGCGAAAGUGACGGUACCUGCAGAAAAAGCACCGGCUAACUACGUGCCAGCAGCCGCAGUAAUAC
rnacentral:rRNA from 1 species